rnacentral:rRNA from 1 species
UAGGGAAUCUUCCACAAUGGGCGCAAGCCUGAUGGAGCAACACCGCGUGAGUGAAGAAGGGUUUCGGCUCGUAAAGCUCUGUUGUUAAAGAAGAACACGUAUGAGAGUAACUGUUCAGGUAUUGACGGUAUUUAACCAGAAAGCCACGGCUAACUACGUACCAG